GUAGGUUUCAUAAGGACGCAGAUACCGUGGUUUUAUUAGGACGUAGAUACAGUGGUUUUAUCAGGACGUAGAUACAGUGGUUUUAUAAGGACGUAGAUACAGUGGUUUUAUAAGGACGUAGAUAGAGUGGUUUUAUAAGGACGUAGAUACAGUGGUUUUAUCAGGACGUAGUUAGAGUGGUUUUAUCAGGACGUAGAUACAGUGGUUUUAUUAGGUCGUAGAUACAGUGGUUUUAUAAGAACGUAGAUACAAUUGUUUUAUUAGGCUCCAUCCUUGGACCAGGUGUCCAUCCAAAACGUCGUGAGAACAAAGAGGAGCAGACGUCCCACUGCACCCGUGCCCCCGCCGGCUCCACAGAAGAGGUGCAAACCAAAAGAUUGUGACGUGCAUCCGUCAAUGGAGACCUUCGGUGUGAAACUAGUUUUAAAGCGGAGGCUGUCCAGUGAGGACAAGGAGGAGGCAUACGUCAGGUGGAUGCCGUGUCCAAAAUGUGGAAAAAAAUGGCAAGACUCCUGGGUGUUGAGUGAGGAAUUUGAUUGAAGAGCCAUGUCUGUGUUAAUAAUAAUAAACUUCAUUUGCGU